ACGCUGGCGGCGUGCUUAAUACAUGCAAGUCAACUUGACUUUAGAUAGCAAUAUCGAAAGUAGGGUGGCGCACGGGUGCGUAACGCGUAGGUAAUCUGCCCUGAGGUCUGACAUAACCCGUCGAAAGGCGGGCUAACAUCAGAUGAUAUAUAAUCACGACAUCGUGGAAAUAUCAAAUCUUCGGAGCCUUGGGAUGAGCCUGCGUCUGAUUAGGUAGUUGGCGGAGUAAUAGCCCACCAAGCCUACGAUCAGUAGCUGGUCUGAGAGGAUGAUCAGCCACACUGGAACUGAGACACGGUCCAGACUCCUACGGGAGGCAGCAGUAAGGAAUAUUGCUCAAUGGGGGGAAACCCUGAAGCAGCAACGCCGCGUGAAGGAUGAAAUACUUUGUAUGUAAACUUCUGUAAGAUGGGAAAAAUAUUCUCCUCGGGAGAAUUGAUUGUACCAUCAGAGUAAGCCCCGGCUAACUACGUG
rnacentral:rRNA from 1 species